rnacentral:sRNA from 1 species
UACCAGCAACAAGGGGGGGGAGUGCCUUU